UACGUAGGGGGCAAGCGUUGUCCGGAUUUAUUGGGCGUAAAGAGCGUGUAGGCGGUUUGGUAGGUCCGCUGUGAAAACUCGAGGCUCAACCUCGAGACGCCGGUGGAAACCAUCAGGCUAGAGUCCGGAAGAGGAGAGUGGAAUUCCUGGUGUAGCGGUGAAAUGCGCAGAUAUCAGGAAGAACACCCGUGGCUAAGGCGGCUCUCUAGUACGGGUACU
rnacentral:rRNA from 1 species